GACGAACGCUGGCGGCGUGCCUAAUACAUGCAAGUAGAACGCACAGUUUAUACCGUAGCUUGCUACACCAUACACUGUGAGUUGCGAACGGGUGAGUAACGCGUAGGUAACCUGCCUGGUAGCGGGGGAUAACUAUUGGAAACGAUAGCUAAUACCGCAUAAUAUUGAUUAUUGCAUGAUAAUUGAUUGAAAGAUGCUAUUGCAUCACUACCAGCUGGACCUGCGUUGUAUUAGCUAGUAGGUGAGGUAACGGCUCACCUAGGCGACGAUACAUAGCCGACCUGAGAGGGUGAUCGGCCACACUGGGACUGAGACACGGCCCAGACUCCUACGGGAGGCAGCAGUAGGGAAUCUUCGGAAAUGGACGAAAGUCUGACCGAGCAACGCCGCGUGAGUGAAGAAGGUUUUCGGAUCGUAAAGCUCUGUUGUAAGAGAAGAACGGGUGCGAGAGUGGAAAGUUCACACUGUGACGGUAUCUUACCAGAAAGGGACGGCUAACUACGUG
rnacentral:rRNA from 1 species